rnacentral:lncRNA from 1 species
CGACAAAAAAACUUCAAGUACUACUCGGUUCCAGCUAACACCAAGACUAAGAGCUCCAAACGCAACUUAUAGAAACCGAUAAAAUGGAAUCAAAGAAGCUUCUCGCCAUCCUCGUCAUUUCCUGCGUCUUGGUAACCCUGUGCUUCCAGACGACCGAAGCCCAGUCUCUCAGGUGGGGACGUGAAUUCGGAGACAAGUACCCUGAGGCACGAGAAAUAAAGGAAUUUCUUCAGAGGGAUGCCAACAACAAGAAAAGGGAGUACAACUACAACAGAAGUUGAAAAGAGGCAAUCAACGCGGAUACGACUUAAUUAAUCACAAUAAGUGUUCAUAUGACAAAAGUAAAUAAAUAAAUAAUAGAAUUAUGUUACGUAGUAAAGACAAAUACCGCUCUCUGUAGAAGAUGGAGUGAUUAUUAGUAAUGCUGAAGAACAAAAUACAGAAGCAGUGAAUAAAGCCUGAUUUAUUCAGAAA